CACGUAGGUGCGAGCGUUGUCCGGAAUUAUUGGGCGUAAAGAGCUCGUAGGCGGUGUGUCGCGUCGGCCGUGAAAACCUGCAGCUUAACUGUGGGCGUGCGGUCGAUACGGGCAUCUCUGGAGUUCGGCAGGGGAGACUGGAAUUCCUGGUGUAGCGGUGAAAUGCGCAGAUAUCAGGAGGAACACCGGUGGCGAAGGCGGGUCUCUGGGCCGAUACUGACGCUGAGGAGCGAAAGCGUGGGGAGCGAACAGG
rnacentral:rRNA from 1 species